CUCCCAGCCAAAUCAUUCACGUAUCCAUCUUCAAGCCAGCCGUCUCCUUAUCCCUGCGAUGCCGCUCACCUGGGCUCAUCUUCCAGCCGCCCUCCGCCCAGCAGCAGAGCACACCAUCCUCUCAACUCGGAUCCCCAAGCCCUCGCCUCCAGCUCUUGCCACGGCAUCCAUCCCCUGUUCGGACCUCCACCCGGCCGCGUCCUCGCCGGUGGCCAGCGCCGCUGCAUCGCCCUUCCUAGCGUCGGCCUUGGCACCGCUUCCCCGAGCGCCCCAGUCGAGCUCGCCCAUCCUCUGCUCUAGCCCUUUCUCCACGCCGUCGCUGAGCUCGCCCCUCCCCUCAGCCAUGGACACGACGACCUGCAGCCCUUCUUGGUGGCCAAGCCCAUCUUCCUGCUCGCGCCCCCUCUUUUUCCACCUCUGCGCGUAUCAGCUCGUCCAACCCCCAUGGUGUUUCCUCCCUCUCGGCUCCCUUGCUCCCUCCCCAUGGCGUUCCCCCUGGAUGUUGGUGAUCUGUUCCCCACGGUGCAGGCAAAUGUUCUUUCCCUCCCUGCAGCAGCACCUUGGUGGUUGUCGAGCAGCACGUCGCGCUUGCGCAGCCUCGGUCACGACGUUGUUCACCCCGGUGUCAUGUGUUCGCCGAAAUGCCUAAACAUGUAGUCUGUCGUCGUCGUAUCCACAGUCAAUUUUAGUCAUGGGGAACUUGGUACAGCCAUCCAUGGUAUCAGAAUAUGACCUGGGAGGAGAAGGGGACCUGUUCAAAGCUCCAGAAGCCAUCAUCGAGGAACCGCUGCUCCUGAACUGUCUGUCU
rnacentral:misc_RNA from 1 species